CCCUUAGAUGUUCUGGGCUGCACGCGCGCUACACUGAAGCGUUCAACGAGUAUUCACCUUGCCCGGGAGGGUUGGGUAAUCUUUUUAAAACGCUUCGUGAUGGGGAUAGAUUAUUGCAAUUAUUAAUCUUCAACGAGGAAUUCCUAGUAAGCGCGAGUCAUCAGCUCGUGCUGAUUACGUCCCUGCCCUUUGUACACACCGCCCGUCGCUCCUACCGAUUGAAUGGUCCGGUGAAGCGCUCGGACCGCGGCCUCUUGACGGUUUUCCGUCGAUUGGCUGUGGGAAGUUCGUUAAACCUUAUCAUUUAGAGGAAGGAGAAGUCGUAACA
rnacentral:rRNA from 1 species